rnacentral:rRNA from 1 species
UACGGGGGGGGCAAGCGUUGUUCGGAAUUACUGGGCGUAAAGGGCUCGUAGGCGGCCAACUAAGUCGGAUGUGAAAUCCCCAGGCUUAACCUGGGAACUGCAUCCGAUACUGGAUGGCUUGAAUCCGGGAGAGGGAUGCGGAAUUCCAGGUGUAGCGGUGAAAUGCGCAGAUAUCAGGAGGAACUCCGGAGGCGAAGGCGGCACGCUGGACCCUCCCUGACGCUGAGGCGCGAAGGCGUGGGGAGCGAACGGG